AGGUGAUGUUUCCUAACCAUUAUCAAUGGAGACACUCGGCUGUACUGUGGGUGUGUAUAAGUACCACCUUAGACACACUUGUUGUCGAUAGUAUAGUGUGAGGGAGGGUUAGAUGCCCU
rfam:Bacillus sp. SGD-V-76 genomic scaffold Scaffold45, whole genome shotgun sequence.